GGAUGCGAUCAUACCAGCACUAAUGCACCGGAUCCCAUCAGAACUCCGCAGUUAAGAGCGCUUGGGCGAGAGUAGUACUAGGAUGGGUGACCUCCCAGGAAGUCCUCGUGUUGCAUCCC
rnacentral:rRNA from 1 species